rnacentral:rRNA from 1 species
GACGGGGCCCGCACAAGCAGCGGAGCGUGUGGUUUAAUUCGACGCUACACGAAGAACCUUACCUGGAUUUGACAUGCACGUAGUAGUGAACCGAAAGGGGAACGAGCCUUCGGGCAGCGUGCACAGGUGCUGCAUGGCUGUCGUCAGCUCGUGCCGUGAGGUGUUGGGUUAAGUCCCGCAACGAGCGCAACCCUCGUCGCUAGUUACAUGUGUCUAGCGAGACUGCCAGGUUAACCCUGGAGGAAGGUGGGAUGACGUCAAGUCAGCAUGGCCUUUAUGUCCAGGGCUACACACACGCUACAAUGGUCGGUACAAUGGGAUGCCAAGCCGCGAGGCGGAGCAAAUCCUCAAAGCCGGCCUCAGUUCGGAUUGGAGGCUGCAACUCGCCUCCAUGAAGUCGGAGUUGCUAGUAACCGCAGGUCAGCUAUACUGCGGUGAAUACGUUCCCGGGCCUU